GUCCUCUUGUUGUGGUUAAGAGGUUUGACCUGCCCGGUGAUAAUUAUUUAACGGCCGCGGUAUUUUGACCGUGCAAAGGUAGCAUAAUCAUUAGUCUUUUAAUAGGAGGCUGGAAUGAAAGGUUUGACGAAGCAUUAACUGUCUUAAUUUUAUUUUUAGAAUUUAAUUUUUAGGUUAGAAAGCUUAAAUUUAGUUGGAAGACGAGAAGACCCUAUAGAGCUUUAUAAAUUUAUUAUUAAGCAAAUUUAGGUUUAUGAUUUUAUUUUAUUAACCAAUUUAUUUUGUUGGGGUGACAAAAAUAUAUAAUAAACUUUUUUACAUUAUAAACAUUGAUUUAUGGUUAUUUGAUCCAUUAUUAUUGAUUAUUAGUCUAAGUUACCUUAGGGAUAACAGCGUAAUCUUCCUUUAAAGCUCAUAUUAACGGGAAGGCUUGCGACCUCGAUGUUGGAUUAAGAUUAUAGUUGGGUGCAGUAGCUUAACUAAUAGGUCUGUUCGACCUUUAAAUUCUUACAUGAUCUGAGUUCAGACCGG
rnacentral:rRNA from 1 species